UACGUAGGGUGCAAGCGUUGUCCGGAAUUAUUGGGCGUACAGAGCUCGUAGGCGGUUCGUCGCGUCGGCUGUGAAAUCCCGAGGCUCAACCUCGGGUCUGCAGUCGAUACGGGCGGACUGGAGUUCGGCAGGGGAGACUGGAAUUCCUGGUGUAGCGGUGAAAUGCGCAGAUAUCAGGAGGAACACCGGUGGCGAAGGCGGGUCUCUGGGCCGAUACUGACGCUGAGGAGCGAAAGCGUGGGGAGCGAACAGG
rnacentral:rRNA from 1 species